GGGACUCGAGGAAGCGCAGAGAGCUGGGGCCCAGAGACGGCUCUGACAGCUGCGCUGGGAAGACGAGGGGGCCCUAAGGCAGCGAGUCCACCUCUUGGGAGAGGAAAUAGGAGACUAGGACAGCAGUAACUGGUCCGAGACGAAAAGCUGGAGAGCUGGGCCCAGAUCCAUGUCCAGCGGCUUGCAGCUCACACCUGUAAGGGCUGUUGCCUCCGUGUCUGUAUCCGCCCUAGCGCUGGUGCCAGGAGGUGGAGUCGUCGACCCCAGCCUCUACCCAGUCCUGCCGUCCACCUGGGCCUGGGCUGUGGUAGCACGUGUUUGCUUCCUGGGUGGUUGUAACUUCGUCACAGCACACAGCACGCCCUCACUCGGGGCCCCUGCCUUUCCCUGGUUGGAUGCUCUCCCUCCAGAUACCUAUAUGGCUCCCUCUCCUUCUUCCUUCUCUCACAAAUGUGACCUUCUCAGGUCACCUGACCCCUUACAGGAAGAGGAAAGACCCUCUCCCCACUGCAGUUGCUGGAAUUUUCUAACCUGCUUUACCCUGCAUUUACUUUUCUGCAAAGCACUUACCAGCUGACGUCUUAGAAAUGCCUCACGGUCUGUCUGUCCCCACUGGAACGUCAGCUCCACCAGGAGAGUCUAGAACAGCGUCUGGUCUAACGGCUCCUCAGCAAGACUGGUCGGCUGCCUGAGUGACCAGACAUGCAGGGAGUCACACUGAAACAAUGGAUCGGCCAGAGCCACUGAGGUUUGGUUUUGGAACAGACACAAGAACAUGUGCGCAGCUUUUCUUGCACGGCUGUCCCUGCGUGGACAUCUGUCGUCUUGGCGUGCCCAGCAUUCUCUCCCCGCCUUUGGGUGGCCUCCUCCCAGUUUUCCCGUGGAAUGCUCUCUGCUCGCAGCCCACGGGAUUCAGGAGUGGUUCACGGGUGUCGCCCGGGACCCGGGGAGAGGGGAGCGGUCUUUGUGCAGGUGUCACUGCAUGGUGGGUGUCCAGGGCUGUGGGGGAGGGACGCGGGAGGGAGAGCGCCAUGAGAGCACCUGAGCAUCUGAACUCAGCCACGGUCCAUCUUGCUUUUAGCAGGCAGCCAGCACAAGUGCUUUCAAUGAGAGCCCAGCUGAACGCUCCCGACCCACACAGCUGCUCUGCCCAGCUGUUGGGUUCCCAGGUUCCUGCCGGAACUGGAGAGCUGGGAUCAUCUCCAGAUUAAUACCCAGGCCGCGUCAGCGCCUCUGCUGCUCUCCCCACGUCACAGUCGCAGUCGGUGCUGUGACUGGGCGUUUCUUGUCCCGGAUGCGGCCUGUUUUCCAU
rnacentral:lncRNA from 1 species